rnacentral:lncRNA from 1 species
GAAAAUCUAUUUUGAGCCUCAUUUUCCCUCUUCAAUUUAUUGAUGACAAAUAAAUCUCUUAAAGAAAAUUCAUUGUCUUCCCAUUCCCAAUAACCACAUGACCCCUUAUUCUACAAGAAAAAAAUUAUAAACAUCAGAAGAAAUCAUCCAUAUAAAUAUGUUUAAAAUUAGACACAAAAUUCACAAGAUUUCACAUGAAACAAAUGGCCAAUUACAUCAGGUUUUGGUCACCUAAAAAAAUAUCUUCCAGGAUUCUCAGGAGUCUUGGACGUGAGAUGCAGAGCUAUAAUUUCACAACAGCACAUCCUCUUACAGCCGUAUGAAGAACUAGAAGAUUGAGAGAUUUCAUGAACAAUGGACAGAAAUAAAAUAAAGAAAAUGACUUUAAUCUUACUCCUAAGCUCUAGAUAUUGCGAAAUUUACUCGAAUUAAAGGAAAAUAAUACUCACUUGAACAGAAUCGGAAAAUUUAGAAGAGGGGCUAGGGUUUUCAAGAAGGAGGGAAAGAAUGUUAAUAGAAGAAGAAGAAUAAGUUCGGGUCUCUUGAAAAAGCGACGGGUUGGAGAGAGGCGAGGGGAUUGGUACAUUUAUUAGUAUAA